rnacentral:rRNA from 1 species
GAUGAACGCUGGCGGCGUGCUUAACACAUGCAAGUCGAACGGAAAGGCCCUGCUCUUGUGGCGUGCUCGUGUGGCGAGCGGGUGAGUAUCACGUGAGUAACAUGCCCUUGACUUUGGGAUAUCUCUAGGAGACUGGGGCUAAUACAGGAUAGGAUCUCCUGCUCCAUGGGGGGGGAUGGAGAGUUACGGCGGUUGGGGAUGGACUGGCGGCUUAUGCGCCUGUUGGUGGGGUAGUGGUGUACCAAGGCUUUGACGGGUAGCCGGCCUGGGAGGGUGACCGGCCACAAUGCUACUGAGAGACGGCGCAGACGCCUACGGGAGGCAGCAGUGGGGAAGAUGGCGCAGUAAGCGGAAGCCUGAUGCAGCAACGCCGCGUGCGGGAUGACGGCCUUCGGGUUGUAAACAGCUUUCUCCUGUGACGAAGAGGGAGUGACGGUAAUUGGUAAAGAAGCACCGGCUAACUACGUG